AAAGAAAAGUAAAGGACUAAAUUGUAAAGUUUAGUCACAUUUUGUAUCGAGUACUUAUCUAGCCACUCGGGGAUCGAAGGAAACGUCGGAGGCCGAUCACACUAUCAAAGAAAUAACUCGGUAUAAUUAGAUGUUUUGUUUUGUGUAUGGCAUGUAUAGAAACUUAGCUACUUUUGGUAUAAUAUGAGCAAUGAAUGAUGUGUAAAUACUUGCUAGUGAUUAGCUAAUAAAA